rnacentral:rRNA from 1 species
UGUCAGGGAAGAAACGGUGAGGGCUAAUAUCCCUCGCUAAUGACGGUACCUGAAGAAUAAGCACCGGCUAACUACGUGCCAGCAGCCGCGGUAAUACGUAGGGUGCAAGCGUUAAUCGGAAUUACUGGGCGUAAAGCGUGCGCAGGCGGUUUUGUAAGUCUGACGUGAAAUCCCCGGGCUCAACCUGGGAAUUGCGUUGGAGACUGCAAGGCUAGAAUCUGGCAGAGGGGGGUAGAAUUCCACGUGUAGCAGUGAAAUGCGUAGAGAUGUGGAGGAACACCGAUGGCGAAGGCAGCCCCCUGGGUCAAGAUUGACGCUCAUGCACGAAAGCGUGGGGAGCAAACAGGAUUAGAUACCCUGGUAGUCCACGCCCUAAACGAUGUCUACUAGUUGUCGGGUUUUAAUUAACUUGGUAACGCAGCUAACGCGUGAAGUAGACCGCCUGGGGAGUACGGUCGCAAGAUUAAAACUCAAAGGAAUUGACGGGGACCCGCACAAGCGGUGGAUGAUGUGGAUUAAUUCGAUGCAACGCGAAAAACCUUACCUACCCUUGACAUGUACGGAAGGCCGAAGAGAUUUGGCUGUGCUCGAAAGAGAGCCGUAACACAGGUGCUGCAUGGCUGUCGUCAGCUCGUGUCGUGAGAUGUUGGGUUAAGUCCCGCAACGAGCGCAACCCUUGUCAUUAGUUGCUACAUUCAGUUGAGCACUCUAAUGAGACUGCCGGUGACAAACCGGAGGAAGGUGGGGAUGACGUCAAGUCCUCAUGGCCCUUAUGGGUAGGGCUUCACACGUCAUACAAUGGUACAUACAGAGGGCCGCCAACCCGCGAGGGGGAGCUAAUCCCAGAAAGUGUAUCGUAGUCCGGAUCGCAGUCUGCAACUCGACUGCGUGAAGUUGGAAUCGCUAGUAAUCGCGGAUCAGCAUGUCGCGGUGAAUACGUUCCCGGGUCUUGUACACACCGCCCGUCACACCAUGGGAGCGGGUUUUACCAGAAGUAGGUAGCUUAACCGCAAGGAGGGCGCUUACCACGGUAGGAUUCGUGACUGGGGUGAAGUCGUAACAAGGUAGCCGUAUCGGAAGGUGCGGCUGGAUCACCUCCUUU